rnacentral:rRNA from 1 species
UAUUUCACAAUGGGCGCAAGCCUGAUGCAGCGACGCCGCGUGAGCGAAGAAGUAUUUCGGUAUGUAAAGCUCUAUCAGCAGGGAAGAUAAUGACGGUACCUGACUAAGAAGCCCCGGCUAACUACGUGCCAGCAGCCGCGGUAAUACGUAGGGGGCAAGCGUUAUCCGGAUUUACUGGGUGUAAAGGGAGCGUAGGUGGCAGGGCAAGUCAGAUGUGAGAACCCGGAGCUCAACCCCGGGAGUGCAUUUGAAACUGUCCAGCUGGAGUGCAGGAGAGGUAAGCGGAAUUCCUAGUGUAGCGGUGAAAUGCAUAGAUAUUAGGAGGAACACCAGUGGCGAAGGCGGCUUACUGGACUGUAACUGACACUGAGGCUCGAAAGCGUGGGGAGCAAACAGG